rnacentral:rRNA from 1 species
GGUGAACGCUGGCGGUAUGCUUAACACAUGCAAGUCGUACGGAAGUUUUUUAACUUUAGUGGCGGACGGGUGAGUAACACGUGAGAAUUUGCCUUUAGGAGGGGGAUAACAAUUGGAAACAAAUGCUAAUACCCCAUAUGCUUUUGAGUGAAAUGGAUUUAUCCGCCUAGAGAGAAGCUCGCGGCUGAUUAGCUUGUUGGUAAGGUAAGAGCUUACCAAGGCGACGAUCAGUAUCUGGUUUGAGAGGACGAUCAGACACACUGGAACUGAGACACGGUCCAGACUCCUACGGGAGGCAGCAGUGGGGAAUUUCCGCAAUGGGCGAAAGCCUGACGGAGCAAUACCGCGUGAGGGAUGAAUGCCUAUGGGUUGUAAACCUCUUUUUUCAGGGAGGAACAAAUGACGUGUACCUGAAGAAUAAGCAUCGGCUAACUCCGUGCCAGCAGCCGCGGUAAAGUGACUACUG